UGGCAUGAACUGAUGCGGGGUGCCCCAUCUGGGGAGAAUCGGGAAGCCGGUGCGAAUCCGGCACGGGCCCGCCGCGGUGACCGGGGAGCAGCCGCCCACGCGCGUACGAUACGCGCGGCCACUGGCCGGAAGGCCGGGAAGGCGGGCGGUCGAGCGUUGAUCCGGGAGUCCGAAGACCGGCCUCGCUCCACACGGCCGC
rnacentral:ncRNA from 1 species